UACGUAGGGACCGAGCGUUGUCCGGAUUCAUUGGGCGUAAAGGGCGCGUAGGCGGCGGUUCAAGUCGGGGGUGAAAGCCUGUGGCUCAACCACAGAAUGGCCUUCGAUACUGGACGGCUCGAGACCGGAAGAGGUCAGUGGAACUGCGAGUGUAGAGGUGAAAUUCGUAGAUAUUCGCAAGAACACCAGUGGCGAAGGCGGCUGACUGGUCCGGUUCUGACGCUGAGGCGCGAAAGCGUGGGGAGCAAACAGG
rnacentral:rRNA from 1 species